ACGCGUACAUUGCGCUGAUACUACACGCUUCACCGAACAGAUUUACAGCUUCUGCAAAGGGUUAAGUACCGCCCCUUCCCUUUUUUAAACCCCCGUCUGACGUAAGCGCAGUGACGUCAUCCUCGUUGUCGUGGGCGAGUGAUUGAGAAACCCUCCUUCUUCCCAACUCCCCCGUUGAGUUUGAGGAAUUCCCAGAUAGCUGCCCCUCCUUGAAUUGUCAUGUACUGUCUGGUCCCAGCGAGCGUGAGUAGCCAGGAUGUGGCUUUGGCUUUUGGAUCUGGCCACCAUGUGCCAGGAGGAGUAAGUAAAAAGCUUCAUCCUCCACUGAGUCCCAGCCAGGCGCUCUCCAGGGUCCUGAGGUGAAGUGUGUCUCUGUCUGUGGUGCUGAUCUCCUGCAGCUGACAUUGCAUAGUCCUGCAAGGGUAGGGUGCAAGAAAAGAGGUCAGCAAUGUCUUCCAUCAACACAUUUCAAGAAAACAUUACAUACAGUUAAACAGUUGUCUUUUACAGCCCAGAGGUGUAGUGGAUGAAUUUAGUGUCUUGGUUUGUACUUGUGAUCCACAUCUGCCCUCUUGUGGUCUUUUGUUAUAAAAGUAUGCUAAUCAUUUAGCAUUUACAGCAUCCUUCACUGAAACUGCAUAUGAAAAUGACACGUAAGAGCUGUUUGAGACCAGUUAUGCUCUUAUAAUAAUACAGAUACAGAUAGGAGCAUUACCAUAGCAUUACCCAAUUUAUCUGAUUACUUAGAACAACAUCAUCGUUCAUUUAUUAUUAAUAACAUUAAUGGAUGUUUGCACAUGCAUUUUAAUAUAAAGAACAUUGAGUUUAAUUUUAAUCAAAUGUGCUAUAAACACACAAUUGUCUAGACCCGAAGAGCUGUUUCAACAAUCAUUACCACUUCUAUGUUGAUGAUCAAGGAAUAACUAGUAUUUUUCAAAAUUAUACCACCAUUUCCUUAUCCCUAGUUAACCCAUCCCAUGCACUUGUAGAGCUGAGAGGGUGGAAAAAAUGUUCAUAGCAAUGAAUAAUAGUCAAAAAAAUGCAUAAUGUACUGAAUUAUAACUAAACCAACAUUUCACAUUUAGAUUCUAAUCUUCUUCUUAAAAUACUGCGAUGACAUAAAAAGAAACGUAAUAAUGUGCUAGUUACAUAUUCACUGUCAAAAAAAGAAAGACAAAACAUUCUUUGAGCUAGAAACAAAACUAGGCUAGCCUACUUUAUGUAUUUUAGAAUCACAGGACGCAGCUGAGCCUCAGCAGCAAGCAGGGGGUCUGCAGAUUCAUCGAGCUGUAAGUUACUCUCCUCAAAGUAAAGUACAUAUUAUAUGCCCCAAAAAUACCCCCCUAAAGGUCUCUGAAAAGAUGUCAAAUCUAGUGACACAGUUGCUAAAAUGUAGAAGCCCUACUGCGUUGUGCAUGCUCCUUUUAACAAUGUGUGUCAGUUAGUAAAAAACAUUCACUCUCCUACACUUUAAAAAUGACUCACAGAGUCAAUUUACCAGGUUCAAUACACGUCAUAAAUAUUAGCUAACUGUUAUGCCAUACUGACUUGUCUUAAUAGAUUCCAGUUCCAGUAAUUAUCUCAAGAAUAAUUUUCAGGUUUAGUCACACACAUCCUGAUUAGUGCAGCUUUUGAUGAGAUAUGAACAGCCACAUUCAGAUGAGCAUAAGUAGACUGUACAUCUGCGGCCAAGGUGACUAAUGAUUGUGGGAGUAAGUGUUGAAAUGGAUGCUAAGAUCUCAGACCCAUGACUCAGCUAAGAUACAUUCAUGAAAAGACACGCUACAAGUCUCCAUCAUGUAACUUCAUUCAAAGGAUUCUGGAGUGUUAACUCAAACACAAUGCAUGCUGGGAAUACUGGACAAAAGCAUUUGCCAAAUGAAUGUAAUAUCAUGUAAAGCAUACUAAGAAGCUAACAAAUGUUUGCAAUGUAAUCACAAGUUAUAAUUGAUUGUGUGAAUUUACAGUGUUCUACGUCAAAGUGUCUGUGUGGCCGUUGCCUGAUAGAAAAGCUGCCCAGUCUGCAUCCUUAAAGCAAUCAGUAUCUUUAGGGCCUUGUAUCGAUAGCUUUUAUAGAUGAUUCACGAGACAUAACCAUAAGCAUUAAACCUCAUUUCAGUUUAAAUGGUUAAUGUUCAGCUUUAGAAAAGUUCACAUUCAUGGGACUAAUUCCAGUAAACACUAUUGGACUUGUUGCCUCUUGGCUCCCCUCUGUGAAAAAAUCCUAAAACCCCAGUUAGCAGGAUUUUAAUGAUCAGCACCUUGUAAAGCCGCCUCUCAGCAGGUUUACCUUACUUGAAUUAGAGGAGCUUGCUGUUUGUUAUUUAAGGGUCUGGCGUUCAGCCUUUGAGGGCUUGGUUUUCCAAUCCAUUUAACAAAUACUCUUUUACUACACUACAUUAACUUGCACAACACUUUAAUAGAAAACAACCCGUAGUGAGCUGCAGUGCAUCUGAAAUCAAAAUCCUGAAAAUUGAAUAAUAGCUGCUGCUUAACCUACAGUUUUUGCAGAAGAUAUGCUCAGUGGUCCAUGGCAGAAGAGUGAGGUUGCACAGGUUGGUGCCCAGUUGUUAAAGAGAGAAUGAGUAGCAGGGAAUGUCUGAAGUAGACAGUGUAAGAUCCACACAUCCAAAAAUAAAAAGUGAUUCACCAUGUGUUACAUUCUGGGAAAUAAAAUGUUCCCCGUGCAGUUCCAAAAUCGCUAACACAGUCAGAUUUUUCUGCGUCAGUCGGCAGUGGUCCCUUCAGCCCCCAGUGAACCCGCCUUUAUCUAUCACGGCUUCUUUACGACCCUGAGCUCCUGCAUGAUGCUUUUCCUUUUACAGAUCCAUUGAGUGGAGUCAGUCAGUCACGGCAAGCAUUAUAUAAUUCCAAUCAAUCUGAGUUAUAAAAUCUUGACAUAGGCCGAGGCCGCGCUACAGCUGAAAUUUACAGCUGUUUAGAUUGCAAGUCAUUUCCCUGUGGCAUGUGCAUACACAGUGCAUCUGCCUUCUGGAGCCGAGUGAAAAUAAAACCCUGCCUGUGAGACUUCA